UACAGAGGGUGCAAGCGUUGUUCGGAAUUAUUGGGCGUAAAGCGCGUGUAGGCGGCUUUGCAAGUCGGGUGUGAAAGCCCUCAGCUUAACUGAGGAAGUGCGCCCGAAACUGCAGAGCUUGAGUACCGGAGAGGGUUGCGGAAUUCCCCAAGUAGAGGUGAAAUUCGUAGAUAUGGGGAGGAACACCGGUGGCGAAGGCGGCCACCUGGACGGAUACUGACGCUGAGACGCGAAAGCGUGGGUAGCAAACAGG
rnacentral:rRNA from 1 species